UACGGGGGGAGCAAGCGUUGUUCGGAUUUACUGGGCGUAAAGGGCGCGUAGGCGGCGCGGUAAGUCACUUGUGAAAUCUCUGAGCUUAACUCAGAACGGCCAAGUGAUACUGCAGUGCUAGAGUGUGGAAGGGGCAACUGGAAUUCUCGGUGUAGCGGUGAAAUGCGUAGAUAUCGAGAGGAACACCUGCGGCGAAGGCGGGUGCUGGGCCGGACACGUUGACGCUGACUG
rnacentral:rRNA from 1 species